CCCGAAGCAGGGCGCGCCUUGCGCUAGACCACGAUCCUGUGCUAUGGAGUCCCGUGAUGGUGUGGUGUUUGAGAGGCGGCAGCCAGGAGGCAACAGGACACUUCCUGGGAUCACUAGGACUAAAUGUGGCUCUUUAACUGUACAAUUUUCGACAUCUCCCACGG